rnacentral:lncRNA from 1 species
CGAGUGUGUCGCCGCGGCCAUCAGGGGCUAGAGCAAUGUAUCUUAGGCUCACUUAAGGAAGCUGUAGAGAUGAGCCCAAGGAGGGAAACCAGAAGAGCCCCCCAGGCUCACCAGUUGUUUGUUGGCUCCCUACAAACAUGUCAUUCAAGUGGCUAAUCUUACAACAGCACAAAUUCAUCUAACCAGAAAGAGAAGAGGAGGCUCCAAAGGCACUUGACUACUGAGCAUCACCCUGGACGUGUACAAGUCUGCGUCCUUAUUGUUUUCUUCAUUGGGCCGAACUUUCUGGUCCUCAUCCAACAGCUCUUCUAUCACGUGUUCGAAAGUGUCAGCCAAUGAUGUCAAGCCUCUUGAACCUGCCUUGGGCCCAUUCACGCUCUCCAGAGUCCCAUGGGUCCGCACACCUGGGUAGGCCAAGCCACCUUGUCCUCGGAUGUUUGCUUCUUUCAUGGGGGCAGCCUUCAUGCAACCAAAGUAUGAAAUAACCAUAGUAAGGAAAAGGAUGGUCAUCACUCUUCUCACCUGGUGGAACUG